UGCAAUAGGUCGGCUUCUCAAGGGAGGCGGCUCAUCCCCUGUAGAUAGAGAGGGGGUGAGGCGUAUGACCACUUUUCAGGUGCUGUCUCUUCUGAUCGCAUUUGGGAUGUUGGUCGCGUUCAUGAUGUCCAAAAAGGACUAAUGACCUCCCUUGAGCUUUAGCGGGCUUAGGAGGUCAUUGUCUGACUAACUGAGCCGCCCCUUUGGCGGGGCACGGUCUAUUGUGCGAUGACCGUAGGUGUGACAGCACCUGCG
rnacentral:sRNA from 1 species